UCCUAGAACACGUGUGCUGUACCUUGGAGCUGCCUUUGGAACAACCGUGUCUCGUGUGUCUGACAUUGUUGGACCGACUGGGUUGGUGUAUGCCGUUGAGUUCUCUCACUGGAGUGGUAGGGAUCUUGUCAACAUGGCCAAGAAGAGGACCAAUGUCAUCCCCAUCACUGAGGAUUCUAGGCACCCGACAAAGUAAUGGAUGCUGGUCAGCAUGGCUCAAGCUGUACCAGAUCAAGGAGCUCUGGGCUGAAGAAAUUUGAAGAAGCUUGAAGCCGGACAAAGUAAAGAGUAGCGAGUAAUAAUGUAGUGCUAGUUAUGUUGUACAGUAGCCAGCAUAUCUGGUUGUAUGAACACUAUUGUAAAUACUGUAAUUUCGUAUUUGUACAGUAGUCA